CCUGGUAGCUCAGUUGGUAAAGAAUCUGCCUGCAAUGCAGGAGACCCUGGUUCAAUUCCUGGGUCAGGA
rfam:TPA: Bos taurus chromosome 25, whole genome shotgun sequence.